ACACCAAAUGGCCCAAACAGACCCCAGAUGCCCUUUGGCUGUGCCAGGCAUUCACUCUUUAGUUCUUAGACUUCCUUGUGGGGACGUCUGAGAAAUCCUGGGGGAGGAGGUGGGGGUUGCCAGGACAGUGUCAGAGGCACUCCAGAGACCUAGGGCAGUGCUGUUUAUUAAUCAGAAUGGCUUUUACUACAAGGAUCCGAGCAUUCCCAGGUUGGCAAAGGAGCCCUUGGCAGCUGCGGAACCUGGGUUGUUUGGCUUAAACUCUGGUGGGCACCUGCAGAGAGCCGGGGAGGCCGAACGCCCUUCACUGCACCAGAGGGAUGGAGAGAUGGGAGCUGGCCGGCAGCAGAAUCCUUGCCCGCUCUUCCUGGGGCAGCCAGACACUGUGCCCUGGACCUCCUGGCCCGCUUGUCCCCCAGGCCUUGUUCAUACUCUUGGCAACGUCUGGGCUGGGCCAGGCGAUGGGAACCUUGGGUACCAGCUGGGGCCACCAGCAACACCAAGGUGCCCCUCUCCUGAGCC
rnacentral:lncRNA from 10 species